rnacentral:rRNA from 1 species
UUGAACGCUGGCGGCAUGCUUUACACAUGCAAGUCGAACGGCAGCACGGGUGCUUGCACCUGGUGGCGAGUGGCGAACGGGUGAGUAAUGCAUCGGAACGUGCCCAUGAGUGGGGGAUAGCCCGGCGAAAGCCGGAUUAAUACCGCAUACGCCCUUAGGGGGAAANCGGGGGGAUCUUCGGACCUCGCGCUAUUGGAGCGGCCGAUGUCGGAUUAGCUAGUAGGUGAGGUAAAGGCUCACCUAGGCGACGAUCCGUAGCUGGUCUGAGAGGAUGAUCAGCCACACUGGGACUGAGACACGGCCCAGACUCCUACGGGAGGCAGCAGUGGGGAAUUUUGGACAAUGGGCGCAAGCCUGAUCCAGCCAUGCCGCGUGAGUGAAGAAGGCCUUCGGGUUGUAAAGCUCUUUCAGGUGGAAAGAAAUAGCGCUGUUUAAUAGAUGGCGUUGAUGACGGUACCACCAGAAGAAGCACCGGCUAACUACGUG